rnacentral:tRNA from 1 species
GCCUGGGUGGCUCGGUCGGUUAAGCAUCUGACUUCGGCUCAGGUCAUGAUCUCGUGGUCUGUGGGUUCGAGCCCCGCAUCGGGCU